rnacentral:rRNA from 2 species
CACACGACUCUCGGCAACGGAUAUCUCGGCUCUCGCAUCGGUGAAGAACGUAGCGAAAUGCGAUACCUGGUGUGAAUUGCAGAAUCCCGCGAACCAUCGAGUCUUUGAACGCAAGUUGCGCCCGAGGCCACUCGGCCGAGGGCACGCCUGCCUGGGCGUCACGC